UACGAAGGGUGCAAGCGUUAUUCGGAAUGAUUGGGCGUAAAGGGUGCGCAGGCGGUAUAUUAAGUCAACUGUUAAAUCUCCUGGCUUAACCAGGAACAAGCAGCGGAUACUGAUGUGCUAGAGGAUGGGAGAGAGAAGUGGAAUUCUCGGAGUAGCGGUAAAAUGCGUAGAUCUCGAGAGGAACACCGAUGGCGAAGGCAGCUUCUUGGCCCAUUUCUGACGCUCAUGCACGAAAGCGUGGGGAGCAAACGGG
rnacentral:rRNA from 1 species